CAUCACGUUUUGCCAUAUUCUGGUUUAAAGCCAGAUCUUCUCUUUUUGGCCGAGCACUGAACAUAUUAUCAUACGCAUCCUGGUUCCAUGAACAAAACAUGAUUUUCAUGUGCUUGACAGUGUCGUGAACUCCUCCGUGGACACUUCCUCUGUUUUUUCAAUCGCACCCCUUCGGAUGACCGUGUAGGAUUGCGUCGGUUUGUUCGGAACACUGUCUUCACCACUGGCUACAAUUAUCUCGUGAUUAAGAUGGCCUUCAUCAUAAUCCACACCCGAUAUCAUCGUUUCUCCAUCAAACAUAAGAAUCUCUUGUUGAAUGAUGUUGCCGUGAUCUUUGUUUUUGAUUGAACUUUUUGCAGGCUUUGUUACGCUUCUCUUUGUGCUUUCCACUGGCCCUUGAAUCAAUAAAGCUCUGAUACCAUGUUGAAGUUUUGCUCUUGUAUUAUACCAGAAGCCAUUGCUUCAAAUACAAGCAUGGUAGAGAAUAAAACAGAGAAUGAAAAAGUGGAAAACUUCUCAAUUAUUCUCAACGAUUUGGCCGUACAACAUUACACACAAUUAUAUAGAGUGCUACGGUCGUAACCGUUCGUUUAGUAACCGAACAAACGCAACUAUCUAACAUGCACCCUUUAAUAUGCAUACACAUAUCUAAGUAUAUCUUGAACAUGUAGCAUAUGACCGAACUCAGUUAUCACUAACAGAUGACACCAUCCAAUGUAGAGACAGGAAUCACAGGAGCCAUUUUGACAAAGCUAGAUGGUGAUUCAAGAGGUGCUGCUGCUUUGAGUGUCAAGGAGGUAUCAGGAAAACCAAUUAAACUGGUAGGACGUGGAGAGCGAAUGAAGGAUCUUAAACCCUUUUAUCCAAUUCGAAUGGGAGAUGUGCUUUCAUUUGUAUAGAAGGCAACAUAAGUUAAGAUACUGAAGAUCUACAGAAGAAGAUAAUGAGUGCAAAGUUCUGACAUCAACGAUUUUGCUCUCUCAACAACUAAAACAGAUUGUGGAAGCUUCAGGAAUUGCUGGAACCCAUGGUGUCGUCGACAACACCAGUUAUGAUGACAUGAACUAUGCUUUGUUUGCUCUUGUGUGCAGCAUCAGUGGAGAUGAUGACUUGCUAAAGCUCAUGACCAUUUAUGGUUUCUGAGGUUUCUUGCCAUGAUCUCAUCUCACUUUGAUGGUUGCUGCAGUAGCACUUGGGAUUAAGAAAACAGAGGUUUCUGAUUGUUGUCACAGCUGCUGUCAGUGACUACAAACAGCAUCCCCAGCCUCUCAAAACUUGAAUGAUGAAUACAUCUGGAGGUACAGGUUUGCACCACUGUAAAUUUUCUUCCCAAUCCAUCGCGUGGUUUCCAUGGUCGUUUCUUCUUCAACGAGCAAGUUAAAAAGGAUAUGGUGCCAAGUGAGGAUCGGAGGACGUUGCUUGUUUGUUUUCGGAGUUGGUGUUUCUUCUUCUGAUUUGACCGACGGCCAAGUACAGGUCAGAGAGAUGGAUUGAAGAAUGAAGAAGAUGAAGAAGACUCGAGACUAAUUAACUGAUUUUCUCUUUCUCUAUAUAUAUGGUGGUUCACUUCCUUCCCAUUACUGUUAAGGAUGUUGCUGAAUUAUGGACCCAAACGAUGGCAAAGGAAUUCUCUUCUUAUUGAAAAAAUAGGUAUUUGUUAGGCAUCAGUGGAGAUCUUCUAGGGUCUUCUUUUGUAAUUGCAAGCAAGCUUUGUCAAAUAAUCUUGUCAAAGUAUGGAUCACAAUAUGGAGUACUGGGCCUCGCAAGGACUAGCAGACAGAAAGGCAUCAGUAGAGAUGAUGAUGAUGACUUGAUCAAGCGCAAGGCGCCCCCAUUCAUGGUUUCUGGUAUCCCAAGUGCUACUGCAGCAACCAUCAAAGUGAGAUGAGAUCAUGGCAAGAAACCUAUCUGGGAUGAAAAACAAAGAAAAAACAAGAGGCCUUUUGAGAAAGUGAGGAGGGAAAACAUAAGCAACACAGAAAAAAUAAAAACAAGCACAGAGGUUUGUCACAGCUGCUCUCCCUGACUACAAAUCGUCUCUCCAAAACUUGAAUGAUGAAGCACAGCUGUCAGGUUCCUUGGAGUGCUAAUAUAUGGCCAUUCUCUUGCCCUUGAUGACACUAGCAUGACUGGAGAGAUCAAAAUCGUUAACAAAGACUCUAACAAGGACCCAUUCCUAAUGUCUUGCUAUAAAUUUGCAGAUGGAAAUGGUGUUUUCUUUGGAAGCUUAUAAUAUGUUAUGGCUUUCGACUCUGAAGUCUCAACUUCAACUUCUACGAUUGUUUCUGGAGGAUAGAACUAUUGAUCGAUUGGUGAUUGCAGAGGAGGCUACUAAGAUCUCUCGCUGAGGGUUUGAUCAAGGAGGAGGCUACUAAGAUCUUCUAGGGUCUUCUUUUGUAAU